rnacentral:lncRNA from 1 species
GCUGGUAUUCGUUCACUCCCUCAGUAAGUAUCUACUGCACCUACUGUGGGCCGGGUGGGAUUCUUUUUUUUUUUUUUUUUAAUUUUUUUAACGUUUAUUUAUUUUUGAGACAGAGAGAGACAGAGCAGGAACGGGGGAGGGGCAGAGAGAGAGGGAGACACAGAAUCGGAAACAGGCUCCAGGCUCUGAGUCAUCAGCCCAGAGCCCGACGCGGGGCUCGAACCCACGGACCGCGAGAUCGUGACCUGAGCCGAAGUCGGACGCCCAACCGACUGAGCCACCCAGGCGCCCCAUGGGCCGGGUGGGAUUCUAAGUGGAGGUUUAUGGCGCUGACGGUGGGGGGGGGGGGGAGAUGGAAAUCCCUCCCCUUGCAGAGCUAAAAGGCUUUAAAAAGUUGGCUCAAGUCCUGCGUUUCCUCUGCCCAUAGCCCCCCAGAGCUCCCAUCUCCCUGGGGUAAAAGCCGAGUCCUCCCCACGGCCCCCAAGGCCCUGCUCGAACCGUAGCAUCCCCGACCUGCCCUGCCCUCCGCCCUCUCUCCCCCUCACUCCCUCUGCUCCGGCCACACGAGCCCCAACACCCCCGGCCCGGUCCUGCCCCCGGACCUUUGCAUGGGCAACUUCCUCUGCCUGGGAUACUCAUCCCCAAAUGCCACUUUGGCUCAUUCUUUCCCUUCUUUCCAGCCUUGGCUUAAAGGUCACCUUCUCAAUGAGGCCUCGUUGUGACUUCCCUAUUUAAUUCUGGCAGGGCUGGGACUAGGACGAGUGCACUUCUGAGUGAGGCACUUUCUUCAGGCAUAACAUUUAAGGGAGCACCAAAGAUCUCAGUCUACACGCUAAACACUAUUUUCAUGCAACUUUUUUUUUUUUUUAUUGUGGUAAAAUGUACGUAAAAUUUACCACGGGAGACAUUUUAAUCCAUUCGCCACGUUGUACAAUGAUCACCUUUAGUUCCGGAACAUUCUGUCACUUCAAAAAAGAAGCCCUGUGCCCAUCAGCAGUCACUCCCCAUCCCCAUGCCUCAGCCCCCUGUCCCCACGAACCCCCUUCCUGGCCGUGGAUGAGACUGUUCGGGACGUUUGACACACGUGGACUCCCGCCCCGUGUGGCCUCUCGUGUCUGGUUCCCUCCCUGGGCGUCCUGUGUUCAGGGUUCGUCCUCGGGGUGGCGGGUGCGGGCGCCUCGCUCCUGUUUGUGGCCGAGGGCCGUGUCCCUGCCUGGACAGACCACGUGCUUGCAUCGUGUGCCCACUGAUGGACACUCGGGGUGAUUCCACUUUUUGGCUCUUGUCAAUCCCGCUGUUGUGCACGCUUGUGCGUGAGUCUUCACGCGGAUGACUAAUUUCCUUUCUCUCGGAUGGAUCCCCAGAAGUGGAACUGCUGGGUCACCAUGGUAAUUCUACGUUUCAUUUCCGAGGAGCCGCUCAACUGUUCCCCCCGCGGUGCUGCCCCAUGUCACGUCCCCCCCCUCCCCCAGCGUCCCUCCCCGCCAGCCGCGCGCGAGGCUGUCGAUUUCUCCAUGUCGCUGCCAACACUCGCUGUUGUCCCUUUUGGAGAAAAGAAAACUCGGGGCGCCUGGGUGGCGCAGUCGGUUAAGCGUCCCACUUCGGCUCAGGUCACGAUCUCGCGGUCCGUGAGUUCGAGCCCCGCGUCGGGCUCUGGGCUGGUGGCUCGGAGCCUGGAGCCUGUUUCCGAUUCUGUGUCUCCCUCUCUCUCUGCCCCUCCCCCGUUCAUGCUCUGUCUCUCUCUGUCCCAAAAAUAAAUAAACGUUGAAAAAAAAAAUUUUAAAAAAGAAAACUCAAUAACCAUUCUGGUGGGUGAAAAGCGGUAUCUCGAUGCAGUUUUGAUUUGCAUAAGGCAAUAUUUGAACAAACCGAAAUUAAUGAAAAACUUUCCGUGACGGGCAACGUUUCGAAAUUUUCGUAAGAACGCGAUCCAGUCCUGCACGCGCUGCCCGCCGCACCUGUUCCCCCCGCCCCUUGCCAGUCCUGUGGCAGCGUGCCCUUGGUCCCGGGCCCCCUUCCCCAAACCGGUAACAGCUCAACGUUUUCUCCCAGCUGGAGGACUCCUCGCUGUUGGACGCAGGAAGUGUGUGACGCGUCGCUUUCGUCGACUCUCUAGAAUUAACCCCCGGAAUGUCAGCUCCCGGAGGCAGGGGUUUUUGCCUGCCUCCUUCACUGCUGGAUCCCCAGCGCCUAGAGCGGUGCCUGCGUCGCCCUAAGUGCUGGACAAAUGGUGAACGGAUGAAUGAACAAAGCAACGAACGGAUGGACGGACGGGUUGGAAGGAUGCCCCCAAGACAGACCCGGAAAAGCACUUUGUACCCGGUGCUGGCACAGGCCACCUGGAUUCAAGGUGCUCGGUCUGCUGGGAUCCUCCGAUUGGCCGGGCGUGGAUCACAUGACAUGCGCUGGCUGGCAGGCCUUCUCUGGCCUCUUCUUUCCCACCAGGAAAAACAAACCAACGCUGACAUCAGUCUGUAUUAUAUCGCCCUGCUUUAUUAUUAUUUUCAGCGGCGCGUAUGGCGCUGGAAAGAUCACGUUGAGCUAUGGCCGUCUGUGUUGCCCUUCAGCCCCGUCCUAUCUUAUUUUCCGUGGUGUCCCAGCACAGAGCUGGGGCCCGGGGUCCGGCAAAAAGUAUUUUAGGUAUUUCUGGAAUGAACGAAUGGCGUGGUAAUUAUUUCCUCCAUGUUGCAGGUGAGGCUCUGGAAGGCGAGGACAGGUUCUGUUACUUACGUAUCUGCCUUCUUCAUCC